UACAGAGGGUGCGAGCGUUACUCGGAAUUACUGGGCGUAAAGCGCACGUAGGCGGCUUGGUAUGUCGGGUGUGAAAUCCCCGGGCUCAACCUGGGAACCGCGCUUGAGACUGGCACGCUCGAGUUCGGGAGAGGAUGGUGGAAUUCCCAGUGUAGAGGUGAAAUUCGUAGAUAUUGGGAAGAACACCAGUGGCGAAGGCGGCUCACUGGCCCGAUACUGACGCUGAGGCACGAAAGCGUGGGGAGCAAACAGG
rnacentral:rRNA from 1 species